rnacentral:rRNA from 1 species
UACGAAGGGUGCAAGCGUUAACCGGAAGUACUGGGCGUAAAGCGUGCGUAGACGGCCUGUUAAGUCGGAUGUGAAAGCCCCGGGCUCAACCUGGGAAUGGCAUCCGAUACUGGUGGGCUAGAGUGCGGUAGAGGAGAGCGGAAUUCCCGGUGUAGCGGUGAAAUGCGUAGAGAUCGGGAGGAACAUCCGUGGCGAAGGCGGCUCCCUGGACCAGCACUGACGUUGAGGCACGAAAGCGUGGGGAGCAAAC